rnacentral:pre_miRNA from 8 species
GGUAUUGUCUGGCUGGCGUUACUUCACAGUCGUUCUUCACUGGCUAGCUUUAUGUGGCAGCACCUUAAAGCUGCCAGUUGAAGAGCUGUUGUGGGUAACCUUAACAACAGACCACCCAA